AGCUCCAGUAGCGUAUAUUAAAGUUGUUGCAGUUAAAAAGCUCGUAGUUGGAUUUCUGGCAAACCGGGGCGGCCCGUGCUCUUAAUGGGUGCUGUGUGCCGUGUCGUGUUUGUCAUCCUUCCAGAGAGCUACGUCUACCAUUCACUUGGCCGGACGUACGUGAUCUGGAUCGAUUACUUUGAAAAAAUUAGAGUGUUUAAAGCAGGCUUAUGCUGUGAAUACAUUAGCAUGGAAUAAUAAUUUAGGACUUCGGUCCUAUUUUGUUGGUUUCUAGGACAGAAGUAAUGAUUGAUAGGGACAGUUGGGGGUGCUAGUAUUCCGCGGCCAGAGGUGAAAUUCUUGGAUUCGCGGAAGACUAACUACUGCGAAAGCAUUCACCAAGGAUGUCUUCU
rnacentral:rRNA from 1 species